GGCCUAACACAUGCAAGUCGGGCGGUAACAGGAAAGCGCUUGCGUUUUUGCUGACGAGCGGCGGACGGGUGAGUAAAGUCUGGGGAUCUGCCUGAGGGAGGGGGAUAACCACUGGAAACGGUGGCUAAUACCGCAUAAAGUCGCAAGACCAAAGUGGGGGACCUUCGGGCCUCACGCCUUCGGAUGAACCCAGAUGGGAUUAGCUAGUCGGUAGGGUAAUGGCCUACCGAGGCGACGAUCCCUAGCUGGUCUGAGAGGAUGACCAGCCACACUGGGACUGAGACACGGCCCAGACUCCUACGGGAGGCAGCAGUGGGGAAUAUUGCACAAUGGGCGCAAGCCUGAUGCAGCCAUGCCGCGUGUAUGAAGAAGGCCUUCGGGUUGUAAAGUACUUUCAGCGGGGAGGAAGGGUUUAGCCUGAAGAGGGUUAAAUUUUGACGUUACCCGCAGAAGAAGCACCGGCUAAG
rnacentral:rRNA from 1 species